UGCUAUCUGGGGCUCCCCUAUUUUAAGGAUGUCCUGUGGGGCUCAGGUAAUCACCGAGGUGGCUGGGGCCUGAAAGCGCCACGUGGACGGAAACAGGCCUGUGUGCAGCCCCGGAGGCCAGUCAGAAGCUUCCAGCCGCCGUGAGGUAACGGACUGGGCAGCAGGGGGGUGACCAGCCGUGUGGCCUGGGGAGUGACUCUGGGCAGAGCAGGAGGGCAGGAUGCCGACUACCCAGGGGCGCCCCGUGGGCCUCGGGGACUCAGGCUGCUUGUGUGGGUUCAGGAUCCCCCGGACGGGCUGACCCUCUCGCCUCCACCCCUCGAGGCCAGAGGACCAUGGCCACCUGCUCACCCAGUGGUGACCCAGCAAGUGGCGAAGUCCACGAGGACAGGUUUGGAGGGGCGGGGGGAGGAGACCUCUGCCUCUGGAUCUCAGGCACCCGCUGCUUCUGUCACAGUCCCCAGCAAGUGAGCCAUCCUGAUUGGUGGAGCCACUGAAACCAGAGCUGCGUAGACACCGUGGACAGAGUCCUGCUGCGUGUGGCGCAGCCGGGUCUGCAGGCCUCGUGGGGACAGAAGACAAGUCCUGCAAAACAGCUUAUGAAAAACCGGCCAAAACCCUGACUGCUUUGUUCACGCUGCCUUGUCUCGUGCUGGGCACGGCUCUGAUUCCCUUUUGAGACCAGGAAUCUACAUGUGGUGGCAUCCCAGAGCCCCUAGAUGGCAAGGGGUGGUGGUAAGAGAAGAGCCUUCGAGUCAGGAAAACUGUGUUGUCAAAGAAGAUUGACCAGAAAAACGGGUCCGUGUCUGACAUUCGUCCUCCUUCAAGCCAUUAAGUAACAGAAUCCGAUCAGCCUCGGUAAUGAAGCUGAACUUCUGGUUCGCAGGUGGGAUCCUCGGGGGCCGGCCUACCAGCCGUGAAGGGAGAAAACCCACUUGAAUGUGGAGGGACUCACGCAGCCGAGGGUCACCUGCCCGGGGGAGCCCGCAAGUCCUGUGCUGUCCUUGCUGAGGGCUCGGCUCCGGCGGCGCAGGCCUCCGUCCCUCCUCUGACCCAGCUGAGAGCACAGAUUCCUUAGCAGCUCUCUGCUGGUUCUUGCUCAUAACCAAGCCACAAAGAGACGGUCACCUGGGCAGCCCCGGUGGCCCAGAGGUUUAGCGCCGCUUUCAGCCCAGGGUGUGACCCUGGAGA